AUGAUAAUCUUGUUCUCCACCCGAACAGGAUGCUGGUCUUGUGAAGCGGGAAGAUCUUCCAAAAGACUGUUUUAUUGUGUAUCAAGGUCACCAUGGCGACCAUGGCGCACACAUCGCUGACGUCGUCCUGCCCGGUGCAGCGUACACAGAGAAGACCGCCACUUACGUAAACACAGAGGGGAGGGCCCAGCAGACCAGGAGGGCUGUCACGCCACCCGUGUACGCGCGUGACGAUUGGAAGAUCAUCAGAGCGCUGUCAGAGAUCGCGGGUAAUACCCUUCCAUACGACAACUUAGAAGAAAUCAGACGAAGACUCUCCGAGCUGUCUCCGAACCUGACUCGGUAUGGUGACGUAGAGGAGGCGAACUUCUUCAACUUAGCUCUGGGUUUGAUGCAGGGCUCUAAAGCACAAUCGUUGAAGCAACCCCUGCAGCCAAGUAUUCUGGAACUGAAGGAUUUCUACAUGACGGACGCCAUUAGCCGUGCUUCGCAGACCAUGGCUAAAUGUGUAAACGCUGUACAAACAAUGAAGUGAAAGCUGUGGAGAGAAAAAAAGAAGAAACUACCAAUUUGUAAAUAGGCCGUUUGAGGAAGCCAUUUACACGCCGCCAAGACAAGCACUGUUACAGUAAUUGAUGGACUUUAUAAUUUUCUGUAUCAAAAUGGUUUCCGUCGUAGGCUUGUAAGAAAUAAAAUAUAUGCGUCAAUCAUUAGGCAAUAAGAGAGCCUACCACAGACAACCAGAGAUGUAGCCUUUAGAUAUGACUAUCACGGAAAAUACAUUUUAUAAAGUUGUCCAUUUUUUAAGUGCUUGGAAUACCUAUUCCAAAUAUAUGCUUCGUGUUCAGACAAGAUGAAAGUUGAGUAUUUCCAACCAAUUGUGAGACUACGUUGAAUAAAUAUUUCAAUUGUUAUCAAAGCAGCCAAGAACAAACUCAAAGUUCUUAAAGAUUAGGAGCGCUACAAUUCUACGAAAAGUCAUUGUUCGGAGCUGAAAAUGUUUCACAUUCAAAUCCCGAUUUAAACGAAGCAUUUGGUAACUUAGUAAACUGGCGGGCUGUGUGUAAAAUUGAAGAGUUGUUAUAGUCUGUCAGAUUAUUUUUGUAUAGUUUCAUUCGUUUACACGAGUGAUGGUGGCAGCAUGUAAUAAAAUGAGUUAAGUCGUA